rnacentral:rRNA from 1 species
AAAUUGACGAGUUUGAUCAUGGCUCAGAUUGAACGCUGGCGGCAGGCCUAACACAUGCAAGUCGAACGGUAACAGGAAGCAGCUUGCUGCUUUGCUGACGAGUGGCGGACGGGUGAGUAAUGUCUGGGAAACUGCCUGAUGGAGGGGGAUAACUACUGGAAACGGUAGCUAAUACCGCAUAACGUCGCAAGACCAAAGAGGGG